GACAGAGGGUGCAAACGUUGUUCGGAAUUACUGGGCGUAAAGCGUGCGCAGGCGGUUCGUUAUGUCCGAUGUGAAAGCCCCGAGCUCAACUUGGGAAUGGCAUUGGAAACUGGCGGGCUGGAGUGUGGCAGAGGGGGGUGGAAUUCCACGUGUAGCAGUGAAAUGCGUAGAGAUGUGGAGGAACACCGAUGGCGAAGGCAGCCCCUGGGCCAACACUGACGCUCAGGCACGAAAGCGUGGGGAGCAAA
rnacentral:rRNA from 1 species